GAGCCCAACGUCACAGCGGGGCCCGGCGUCACAGCGGAGUCCGGCAGAGCUGGGCAUCACAAUGGGACCAGGCGUCACUGUGGUAUGUGGCCGGGGUGGUCAGAACAUCACAGUGGAGUCACAGUGAGUGGCUCGUUGCAGAAGGACAGAGUGCUGGAGAUACUCAACGGGUCAGGCUGCAUCUCUGGAGAACACAAAUGCACGGAGACUGUGGAUGCCAUGUCAGGUCUGCUGUCGUGCAGUUCUGAUAAUGAUCAGCCUAAGUGCUGGGGAUUCAAAUUCCUGCUCCAUUGCCCAACUCUGUGGGGAGUUCAGCUUCAGGCUGCAGCUAGUUAAUUGAUGCCCAAGCUUGACUAGUUCUGACUUCCACAUUUUGCACAGGAUUUUCAAAAAUCGUUCAAUAGAGAGUAUCAUUGCACAAAUGUCACUAGAAGCGGUUGCUGUCAAUAGCCACCUGCGGUGAGACCCACAGACUGCUCUUACAAGACAAUAGUGUCUGAUUACUGCGGGGACGUUACAUGGAAGCAAUUACUUUUUUCAUAGACUUUUAUUUUUUGCAAGAUAUUUUCUUCUCUGCUUGUCAAUUUCCAAAGUAACAAGUUCCCAAUCAAAAAUUGCAUUAUAACCAAUUUGGCCUGUAUUGUACAAAUAGUGUCCCUUAAUUCAUCAUCCAUGUGUCCAAUUUGAGGCAUUAUCGCAGAAUAACCUGCAUUUUCUAAAAUACCGCUAUAAGCAAUUUCAGUGUUGCACUACCCACAAUCAUCAUCUUUGUUUUACACUAACAAUCUCGAUCGUUUAUGAAACAGAAUGACAGAUUUGGUCCCUGCUCAUCCAAAUGUUUGUUAAUUGCUUCCUGCACGAUUUAAAAACAAAUGGCCAAUGUAAUAAUGAAUGAAUUAAUCUCUUUAUUGUCAUUGCACAUGGUAUAGCGAAAUUUAAAAGUCAAUCCCACGGUGCGAUUCACAAGAGCAAUUUUAAAUAUAUAAGAAAAGGUAAAAAUAUAUACAUAUUAAAAAAAAAUUACAGAUAAAUAACAAUAGCAGCUGAGGUAGAACCAUUCAGUUAAAUGUGAGUGUUAUUUCUUAUUUUGCAUUGUUAAGUUCACGUAUGGCUAUGGGGUAGAAGCUGUCUCUGAGUCUGUUUGUGCGAGUUUUGAAAGAUCUGUACCAUCUGCCAGAGGGCAGCAGGUGGAACAGGUUGUGUCCAGGGUGGGAAGGGUCCUUUAGGAUGUUGGCUGCCCUGCCAAGGCAGCGAGAGCUGAAGAUGUCCUUCAGGGAGGGCAGUGGGCAGCCAGUGAUUUUUUGUGCGGUGUUGAUGACCCUUUGAAGGGCUCUCCUGUCCGCUGCAGAGCAGCUGGCAUACCAUGUGGUUAUACAGUGCGCCAGCACACUCUCCAUGGAGCAGCGGUAGAAGGACACCAGCAGCUUCUCCAUGUUGUUUUUCCUGAGGAUCCUCAGAAAGUAGAGUCGCUGCUGGGCCUUCUUGACUGCUGUGGUGGUGUUUGUAGUCCAGGAGAGAUCCUCCGUAAUUUGUGUGCCCAGGAAUCUGAAGUCUGAGACCCUUUCCACACAGUCCCCAUUGAUGAAUAGGGGUUUGGGGGCUGCACUGUUCUUACGGAAGUCUAUAAUAAUUUCCUUUGUUUUUGUGGUGUUUCGGAUGAGGUUGUUGUCUGAACACCACGCUGCCAGUCUUUGAUGACAAUAAUGAGGCAUGCUGAGCUGUAUUUGCCAAGUUUAUCCUCUCUUUUCUUGAGCAAGGAUAUUACACUUGCAAUCCUUGCAUCUAAGGAGAAUUAGAAUAGGGAAGGCAGCACCUCUGUAAUUUUCACCAAUAUUUCACCAGGCUGUAAACCAUUUGACAAGAUGUCCCAUUAAUUUUAAGCAUUGCUAACCUUUCUUAUACUGACCACCAUCUCAGUUACCGUAGCUUUGGGAAAGCCCUUUUCUUUGGUAAAUCCUUCCGAUAGUUCCACUCACCCUGGCCACCCUCAUUGUUUCCCUGGCAAUUGGGAUUAAAGCAUCAGAGUGAAAGCUUCAUAUAUUCAAGGAAUUGUAUCAGUUUGGUUGGAACUAAUACACGGAAAGGCAGAAAAUAUUAA